AGUAAGGUCAGCUAAAAUUAAGCUUUUGGGCCCAUACCCCGAAAAUGUUGGUUAAAUUCCUUCCUUUACUA
rnacentral:tRNA from 1 species